rnacentral:rRNA from 1 species
AUUGAACGCUGGCGGCAUGCUUUACACAUGCAAGUCGAACGGCAGCGCGGGGCAACCUGGCGGCGAGUGGCGAACGGGUGCGUAAUACAUCGGAACGUACCCAGAAGUGGGGGUUAACGUAGCGAAAGUUACGCUAAUACCGCAUACGUUCUACGGAAGAAAGUGGGGGACCUUCGGGCCUCAUGCUUUUGGAGCGGCCGAUGUCUGAUUAGCUAGUUGGUGAGGUAAAGGCUCACCAAGGCGACGAUCAGUAGCUGGUCUGAGAGGACGACCAGCCACACUGGGACUGAGACACGGCCCAGACUCCUACGGGAGGCAGCAGUGGGGAAUUUUGGACAAUGGGCGCAAGCCUGAUCCAGCAAUGCCGCGUGAGUGAAGAAGGCCUUCGGGUUGUAAAGCUCUUUUGUCAGGGAAGAAACGGCUGAGGAUAAUACCUUCGGCUAAUGACGGUACCUGAAGAAUAAGCACCGGCUAACUACGUG